rnacentral:misc_RNA from 1 species
GUGCUGCUCUAGAGGAACAAAUAAUGGCGACUUUGGACUCCGACGUGGCCAUGGUUCCAGUCGACGACGCAUCCAGCAAUGCUGCUUCGUCCUCCUCUUCCUCCUCCAAGAAGCCCAAACGCUUUGAGAUCAAAAAGUGGAACGCCGUUGCUCUCUGGGCAUGGGAUAUUGUUGUGGAUAAUUGUGCAAUUUGUAGGAACCAUAUUAUGGAUCUAUGCAUCGAGUGCCAAGCGAACCAGGCUAGUGCCACCAGCGAGGAAUGCACUGUUGCUUGGGGGGUUUGUAACCAUGCAUUUCAC